GACAAGAUCCUGAAACUGAGCGCUGAAGUGCUCCGCCUAGAGAAGACCCUGCAAGAAGAGCGGGCACAGUGCCAGGUCUUGCGCGUGGAGCUGGCCCGAGAGCGUGACUCCAGUCUGGUGCAGGUCUCUGAGAGCCACCGGGAGUUACGUGAGCUGCGGGCUGCUCUGCAGGUUGCCCAGAAGGAGAAGGAGCAUCUGCAGGCCGAAAAGCAGGAGUUGCUGACGUACAUAC